rnacentral:rRNA from 1 species
UACGUAGGGCGCAAGCGUUAUCCGGAAUUAUUGGGCGUAAAGAGCUCGUAGGCGGUUUGUCGCGUCUGCCGUGAAAGUCCGGGGCUCAACUCCGGAUCUGCGGUGGGUACGGGCAGACUAGAGUGCAGUAGGGGAGACUGGAAUUCCUGGUGUAGCGGUGAAAUGCGCAGAUAUCGGGAAGAACACCCGUGGCGAAGGCGGCUCUCUGGGACGGUACUGACGCUGAGGCACGAAAGCGUGGGUAGCAAACAGG